AUUGAACGCUGGCGGCAUGCUUUACACAUGCAAGUCGAACGGUAACAGGCCGCAAGGUGCUGACGAGUGGCGAACGGGUGAGUAAUGCAUCGGAACGUGCCCAGUCGUGGGGGAUAACUACUCGAAAGAGUAGCUAAUACCGCAUACGAUCUAUGGAUGAAAGCGGGGGACCGUAAGGCCUCGCGCGAUUGGAGCGGCCGAUGUCAGAUUAGGUAGUUGGUGGGGUAAAGGCUCACCAAGCCAACGAUCUGUAGCUGGUCUGAGAGGACGACCGGCCACACUGGGACUGAGACACGGCCCAGACUCCUACGGGAGGCAGCAGUGGGGAAUUUUGGACAAAGGGCGCAAGCCUGAUCCAGCAAUGCCGCGUGCAGGAAGAAGGCCUUCGGGUUGUAAACUGCUUUUGUACGGAACGAAACGGCUCUGGUUAAUACCCGGGGCUAAUGACGGUACCGUAAGAAUAAGCACCGGCUAACUACGUG
rnacentral:rRNA from 1 species